rnacentral:misc_RNA from 1 species
GGAAGGAUCAUUAACGAAUUUCAAAGUCGAUCAACUGUGCUGGCGCAACCACGCAUGUGCACGUUGAUUGGCAAAUUCAUCCACACACCUUGUGAACCCUUUGACCACAGAGAUGUUCGUUGGGAUUUCGGUCUCGACUUGAGCAACUCUGCUGGUACUUUUUUCACACACUCUGCAUGUGAUUGGGAUGUUUGAGUGCUUUUAAGCACGAUAACUAAAGAACAACUUUCAACAACGGAUCUCUUGGCUCUCGCAUCGAUGAAGAACGCAGCGAAAUGCGAUAAGUAAUGUGAAUUGCAGAAUUCAGUGAAUCAUCGAAUCUUUGAACGCACCUUGCACCCUUUGGUAUUCCGAAGGGUACGCCCGUUUGAGUGUCAUUGUAUUCUCACCACUUUCCCUUUUGUGGAAAGGCGGUGGACUUGGAUGCCUGCCGUCGUCUUGGAUGGCUCAUCCCAAAUGCAGGAGUGUGACCCCCCUUUUGUCGGUGUCAUCCGGUGUGAUAAGCAUCUUCACUGGAGCAUCUUUGGAGGACAGUGUCCUCUGAAAGAGCAUCGUUGGGGAGUGGGGAUGCUGCCAACCGUCUUGGUGUGCAAGACAAUCCUUUGACUAUUUGACCUCAAAUCGGGUGGGACUACCCGCUGAACUUAAGCAUAUCAAUAAGCGGAGGAAAAGAAACUAACAAGGAUUCCCCUAGUAACGGCGAGUGAAGAGGGAAAAGCUCAAAUUUUCAAUCUGGCGUCUUUGGCGUCCGAGUUGUAAGCUAGAGAAGUGUUUUCCGCGUCGGACCGUGUACAAGUCUCCUGGAAUGGGGUGUCAUAGAGGGUGAGAAUCCCGUAUAUGCCACGGACUCCCGUCGCUUUUGUGAUACACUCUCGACGAGUCGAGUUGUUUGGGAAUGCAGCUCAAAAUGGGUGGUAAAUUCCAUCUAAAGCUAAAUAUUGGCGAGAGACCGAUAGCGAACAAGUACCGCGAGGGAAAGAUGAAAAGCACUUUGGAAAGAGAGUGAAACAGUACGUGAAAUUGUUGAAAGGGAAGCGUUCGGAGUCAGUCGCACUUUUUGGGACUCAGCCGGACUUCUGCCCGGUGUACUUCCCGUUGAGUGGGUCAGUGUCAGUUUCGGGCAAGGGAAAAAGACUUGGGGAAUGUGGCAGUCUUCGGGCUGUGUUAUAGCCCCUUGUUGUAUGCCUUGCUUGGGACUGAGGACCGCAGCGCGCCUUCAUGGCCGGGGUUCGCGCCCUCGGUACGCGCUUAGGAUACUGGCAUAAUGGCUUCGAGCGACCCGUCUUGAAACACGGACCAAGGAGUCUAACAUGUGCGCAAGUGUUUGGGUGUCAAACCCGAGCGCGUAAUGAAAGUGAAAGGUCGGGAUCGUUUCAUGGCGUGCACCGACGCCCGGAGCAGACCUUCUGUGACGCAUCCGCGGUAGAGCGCAUACGUUGGGACCCGAAAGAUGGUGAACUAUGCCUGAAUAGGGUGAAGCCAGAGGAAACUCUGGUGGAGGCUCGUAGCGAUUCUGACGUGCAAAUCGAUCGUCAAAUUUGGGUAUAGGGGCGAAAGACUAAUCGAACCAUCUAGUAGCUGGUUCCUGC